GCGGAUAUGGCGGAAUUGGCAGACGCGCUGGAUUUAGGUUCCAGUGGUGCACACCGUGGGGGUUCAAGUCCCCCUAUCCGCACCA
rnacentral:tRNA from 1 species